rnacentral:rRNA from 1 species
UACGAAGGGGGCUAGCGUUGCUCGGAAUUACUGGGCGUAAAGCGCACGUAGGCGGAUUGUUAAGUUGGAUGUGAAAACUCUGGGCUUAACCCAGAGCCUGCAUUCAAUACUGACAGGCUAGAGUUCUGGAGGGGAUAGCGGAAUUCCUGGUGUAGCAGUGAAAUGCGUAGAUAUCAGGAGGAACACCGAUGGCGAAGGCAGGUCUCUGGGCUGACACUGACGCUCAUGCACGAAAAGCGUGGGGGAGCAAAACAGG